rnacentral:lncRNA from 1 species
GGUUGCUACCUUUUCGAACAACACUUGAGCCUCACCUUAGCAUUGCCUUCAACUUCUCUACCUCAGCCCAGGCCUCGAUCAGCUUCUUUUUUUCUUCAGCAGCUUUGAUCCCUGCCUCACUGAGCUAUAGUGCCUAUUCUCGCUCCCCCACCUUCUGCUAAUGCAUAUCAAAUGAUGCUUAAUGGUGAUGAAGCCAUCCAAGGCUUC